rnacentral:rRNA from 1 species
UAGACCGCCUGGGGAGUACGGCCGCAAGGUUAAAACUCAAAUGAAUUGACGGGGGCCCGCACAAGCGGUGGAGCAUGUGGUUUAAUUCGAUGCAACGCGAAGAACCUUACCUGGUCUUGACAUCCACGGAAGUUUUCAGAGAUGAGAAUGUGCCUUCGGGAACCGUGAGACAGGUGCUGCAUGGCUGUCGUCAGCUCGUGUUGUGAAAUGUUGGGUUAAGUCCCGCAACGAGCGCAACCCUUAUCCUUUGUUGCCAGCGGUCCGGCCGGGAACUCAAAGGAGACUGCCAGUGAUAAACUGGAGGAAGGUGGGGAUGACGUCAAGUCAUCAUGGCCCUUACGACCAGGGCUACACACGUGCUACAAUGGCGCAUACAAAGAGAAGCGACCUCGCGAGAGCAAGCGGACCUCAUAAAGUGCGUCGUAGUCCGGAUUGGAGUCUGCAACUCGACUCCAUGAAGUCGGAAUCGCUAGUAAUCGUGGAUCAGAAUGCCACGGUGAAUACGUUCCCGGGCCUUGUACACACCGCCCGUCACACCAUGGGAGUGGGUUGCAAAAGAAGUAGGUAGCUUAACCUUCGGGAGGGCGCUUACCACUUUGUGAUUCAUGACUGGGGUGAAGUCGUAACAAGGUAACCGUAGGGGAACCUGCGGUUGGAUCACCUCCUUA